UAGGCUAAUUGAUCAACAAAGUGUUCAGUUCAAAUGUAUGACAGGGGUCCAGUUUUGAUAUUAAAGUGCUCAAAUAACAUUUAUUGAGCGGGGAAGUUUCAACCAAAAAAUUUUUGAAAUUCAAAUCUAAGGUUUUUUUUUGGUAGAGUCAAAUCUAUGGUUUAAAUCUUUCUUUUGCCCAUAUUUUGUUUCUUGGUUCAAUUCUUAGCUCACAUGUCACAUAGAUUCGCUCAAUUUUGACUCAGUAGUUGACUCGGUCCUUCUUACCCUCACUCGUUCGCGAUGUCUUUGAACUCCAAUUUUGUGCAUACAAUCGAGUCAGUGCUGGGUGUGUCGCUUGGAUUCCGUCUUAGGUUUGGUGGUCCUGAUUGCGACGACCUUGGCAGCACUGAUAUUUGGGAUGCUAAUCUUCGGAAGAAAUUGUCGAACCGAAGAAGGGAGAUGAGACUGGUCAUAGUGCCGAAGCCGUUGGCAAAUUGAAGACUCUGCAUGCCGCCAAGGGAAUGCUAAGUGAGAUUCGACAAGAUUUAGUGGAUCUUCAUAACUAGCUGCAACAACAACAAAAAGAAUCUUCUUCUUCUUCGCCGCUGAUUUGUUAGACAAAAAUGCUAUGACCAUUAACCAAGCGGCAUUCACUUUCAUCUUCGUUGAAUAGUAAGUCAGGUUCAUUUUCCACCAGAGCAGAAAGAUUGGUAGCCUUGAGCGGCAAAGGAGCAAUAACGACGGAUAGAUCUCUAACAUCUUCAAGGGAUGUCACAGGUACUGGACGUGAUGCACUCGUUGAGUGUGCCGGUUUCUCUCCGCAAAGUGAAUAUUGUCUUUUGGGGAAUUUUACUUUUGCUUAUAUAUAUUUUAUAACUUGUAUAUCCCUUUUAGAGGUUAAUUCUGGAGAAACAGGAUUUAUGUUGAUAUUUAUACUCUUGGGUUAUAUUAUAUUAACUAGUCGGCCUUAUUUUCGCAGGUUAAGACUAGUGUUGUUAUGUAUAAA